UCCGGCGUAGCUCAGUCGGCAGAGCAAGUGGCUGUUAACCACUGGGUCGUAGGUUCGAGUCCUACCGCCGGAGCCA
rnacentral:tRNA from 2 species